rnacentral:rRNA from 1 species
GAUCCUGGCUCGAGGACGAACGCUGGCGGCGUGCCUAACACAUGCAAGUCGAACGGGGAUUUGUUUCGGCAGAAUCCUAGUGGCGAACGGGUGAGUAACGCGUAGGCAACCUGCCCUCCGGCCGGGGACAACACUCCGAAAGGGGUGCUAAUACCGGAUACGAAGUCUGUGCCGCAUGGUACGGAUUUGAAAGAUGGCCUCUGUUUACAAGCUAUCGGCCGGGGGAUGGGCCUGCGUCCGAUUAGCUGGUUGGUGGGGUAACGGCCUACCAAGGCGACGAUCGGUAGCCGGUCUGAGAGGAUGAACGGCCACAUUGGGACUGAGACACGGCCCAGACUCCUACGGGAGGCAGCAGUGGGGAAUCUUCCGCAAUGGGCGCAAGCCUGACGGAGCAACGCCGCGUGAGUGAGGAAGUUCUUCGGAACGUAAAGCUCUGUUGUUCCUGACGAACCUCCCUUCUAUCAACAACGGAGGGGACUGACGGUAGGGAACGAGGAAGCCACGGCUAACUACGUGCCAGCAGCUGC